AGCUUUGUGCAGUGGCAGUAUCAUAGCCAAUGAGGUUUAUCCGAGGCAUGAUUAUUGCUAAUUGAAAAAUUUCCUAAUACCCUGCCAUGAAGACUUGAAAUAUAGUUGGCGUUGGCAAUUUUUGAGAGUCUCUAUGGAGA